UUGUAAAAAAAUAGGAGCAUCGCUCAUCCGUUGAUUAUCGUCAUAAAACAUUAUGCCUCACCCAACAUAUAUCCAU
rnacentral:misc_RNA from 1 species